GAGGAAUAUUGGUCAAUGGGCGGAAGCCUGAACCAGCCAAGUCGCGUGAGGGAAGACGGUCCUAUGGAUUGUAAACCUCUUUUGCAGGGGAGCAAUGCCAGGUACGUGUACCGGGAGGGAGAGUACCCUGAGACAAAGCAUCGGCUAACCCAGUUCCCGCGACCGCGGUAAUACGGAGGAUGCGAGCGUUAUCCGGAUUUAUUGGGUUUAAAGGGUGCGUAGGCGGACUUUUAAGUCAGCGGUAAAAAUGCGGUGCUUAACGCCGUAGUGCCGUUGAAACUGAGAGUCUUGAGUGAGCGAGAAGUAUGCGGAAUGAGUGGUGUAGCGGUGAAAUGCAUAGAUAUCACUCAGAACACCGAUUGCGAAGGCAGCAUACCGGCGCUCAACUGACGCUGAGGCACGAAAGCGUGGGGAUCGAACAGG
rnacentral:rRNA from 1 species